rnacentral:rRNA from 1 species
UCAGCUUGUUGGUGAGGUAAUGGCUCACCAAGGCGACGACGGGUAGCCGGCCUGAGAGGGCGACCGGCCACACUGGGACUGAGACACGGCCCAGACUCCUACGGGAGGCAGCAGUCGGGAAUAUUGCACAAUGGGCGAAUGCCUGAUGCAGCGACGCCGCGUGAGGGAUGACGGCCUUCGGGUUGUAAACCUCUUUCAGCACGGAAGAAGCGAAAGUGACGGUACCUGCAGAUGAAGCGCCGGCUAACUACGUGCCAGCAGCCGCGG